CCGCCAUUACGGGGUCUCUGCCCAGGUUACAGGUUCAUGUACCUGUAUCUUUUCUAACCCACUCGGCUCGACACCGUUUCUCUCUCCCUAGUCCAUCCUCCGAUUGCGGUGGCGGCGGCGACGGAGACUGUGCCGGUGGGACAACCCGGAAGCGAGGGCUACUCUCCACCCUGGCGCGUGGUGUACUCCCCCAUUCCCUCUCUCAUGCUUGCAGGAGGCGAAGUGGACAGUGCAAAGAUCCGACGCGAGGGUUAGGGUUCUUGAUUGUUUAGGAGCGGGGCAAAGAAAGAGGACGAAGGCCAAGAAAGGAUCCCGGGUUGCCCAAGAAGCUGCUCCUCAGGUUGCCACCGCACAAUGAGGAAGCAGUGGACGGGAAGGGUAGAGCUCCGUUUUGAUCUCAAGGGCAAAAUUUGGGGUUCGGCCCCAACAAGAGCCCUCAUUCUGUCCGACAAAAAGAAGCCCUUAUUAUGUACGCAGUUCAUCCUCACUUUUCUGCUAGAUUUCACCGUCACAUCAGCAGACCUAUGGACUAAAAGAAAUCACGCAACAAAAGAAAAAAAAUACAUUCCCUUCCCCUAAUAGUUCAACACUUCUUCAGACUUUAUGCAAAUAUUGUGAGUAUUGUUUCUAUCCUCUGAAGGUGUUAAGACUUAUAUCCCGAAUGUCAGUGCAGUAAUUAAUUAGAUUCUCGGAGUUGAAAGCAUUCAGUCAUGCUUAUUUUAAAUCUUUUCUCAUUGUAGUUCAUAUACCUGUCCGUGGAUCACUCAGGUGUCAUUUUUUUAAUAACUCAACUUUAGUUUGCCAGUAACUAGUUUCAAAAUGUUUUGAAAAUGCUACUUGCAUUCAGGAAGAGAAAAUAGUAUACUGAGAAGUACCUACCAUGCCCCUAGCCCCCUACUAUGAUUUCAGCAUAGUUUAUGGUAUACUAACAAGUACCUACGAUAUGAUGCCUCUGUAUUUUUUUACCUGGGCCUUAUUUUAAUCUCAGCUGUAGUUAAUGGUAACAAGCACCUACAACGCCCCUAUUUUAUUUACCUGGGCCACUAAUAUAAUUUCAGCUCUAUUUGGUCUUUGGAAAUGGUAUAUCUGGAAAUAAAGAACUAUGCGUGUAAUUCUAUCAUUAAAUUAGUCAAUUUUGUAGUUUCUUUCUUUUCCUCAGUGAUAUGCCAAUAUGUUUCAGCUCAGCGCAUGGAGUAAUUUAAUGGUCCUUCUCCUGUGAUUUACUAGACUGUCAGCAAUGAUUCAAAAGGUCAGUUCCUUUAGAUAUAGAUGUGGAAUAAAGCAUCAACCUAUUUAAUAAUGUAUCCAUCCAUCUAGCAACAGGUAGCAUAACUAGCAUAAGUAGAUAGUGACCCAGACAAAGAAACCCACUAAAGAGAUUGCAGGAGUAUUGGUGAGCGCUCUGAAUCUACAAAUUCCUUGAUCCAUUUUUACAUUAUGCAAGCAUAACAGAAGAGAUAAAAUGUAGACACUUUUAGGCACAUACCCCAAAUAUGCCUGACGUUAGAUCCAGAUCAGUAAAUUAACAGUAUGCCAACUACACAUAGCAAUUCAGAUGAAAAAAAUGUAGACAUAAAAUGGGAGCACAGUAGCCAGACACUUUGAACUUCAAAUAUCAUAAACUCCUAUAUGAAAAGGUAAAUUCUGACUGAUGCUUGUGCAAUUUCUGUUACCAUCUAGUUUAAUUCUCUGUAUGUAUAUGCUAUGUAUAAGUAAAAAUAUGCAUGCGUUUGUUUUCCUCAGGGAAGAGCAUUCCUCUAUUUAUUUUAUCAUCUAAUUUAAUUCUCUUUAUGUAUACAUGUUAUAAGAAAAAAAUCUGCAUGCGUUCUUUUCUCUAGCAAAGAGCAUUGCUCUAUUUAUCUCGGACCAUCAUGUCUCAUUCACUGGGUUGUUGGUAAGAAUAUAUCCAUUUUUAAUGUUUUUCUGACUACAGUUUAUAGUUGUAAAAUCUGUCAUUAAGCUUCAGCAGUUCAAUCUUGCAAGCUUCUUUGAAGUGCGGUCUGCCUGAGAUUACCCCAUUCGCUUUGACUAAGAGUUCCAAUUAAUUGUUAGGUUGCUUAUCCUAAAGUUCAUGAUCCUGCAUGCGAGCAAAGGAUGUGAUAAGCGCAGUUUUGUCUCUGUAGUUUUCUAGACUUUAUUCAUCAUGACGAUUUUAUGGAGUCUGAACAAUGUGUAGCUGCAAGGGAGGUUCCAGGAAGACUUCAAGAUGCUAGGCAUCAUCCAUUUUGAGGUCGUUUUAGCAAGACCUGAUGUUUCAGUGCAUAUAGCGCAGUGUAACAUAUCAAGUCAGUUUGUUUCUGUAAUUAUACGGCCUUGUCCAUAUGUUUUACCCCAACCAUCAGUAUUUUGCAUGAUGCCCUAGGUAAUUUGUCCGACAUUGUAUAUCUGCAUACUUGGCUGGCAAUAUCAUUA